CGGGAAGCGGCUUUUCCGCCCGACGACCGGCCGGGCCGUCGUUUCACAGAGAUCGUUGAUCACAAAGGGUUUGGCUGGGUUGUGUUGAGUGGGCUUCAUUUGUUGGUUUGGGAUAAACAGGUAAUGUGCGGCCGGUCUGCACAAAACCCUUUCCCUGUGCCUGAGCGGUUAAUGUUAUUCCCUAACUAUUUCGGCAGGAUGUUAAAAUUCCGUAACUAUUUCUGCGAGAGACUGGAUGCGAUAAAGGCUGCUGAAGUAAAAUAAAGGCUUAUCCCUGUCGAUUAAAAGAAUAAAUGAAGCUUCACUUCUGCUUCUUGUCAAGGCGGAUUUUUAAAAUACUUCAGUUGUCUUCGUACUUUAAGGCCAUUUUCCAAGACUACUGGAUUAGGUGUAUGUUGUACGGACAGACCAGCGUUAGUGUGGCUUGCAAUAUCCUUUGCAAAGCAUUCAUCUUGUAUUACAGUGCCUGCAAUGAUAGACCACAGCUUGUCUGAGACUGAGGAAAAAACACAAAAAAGCCCGCAAACCAGAAACCCUUUCAACAAAAGAGCAGUAGAUGUUCAGGACACCUGCUGUUACAAGAGAUCUUCCUACAGCAAUUAAUUAGUUCAUAGGUAAAUUCUCAGCCGAGAGCAACUGGGAACAUGGGGCACUGAAGCUCAAUUUUGUAAGGCCAAUAGCAGUUUUUAACCUGUAUUGAAAAUGUCUUUCUUCUUAAAUUAGCUGCUGAUAUCUAUAUUCUGGAAGUAAAUGCUCAAGGAAUUACUGGCUUAAACUGGCUUUAAAUUGGAAUCACCUGGAAAAAAUGUGCAACACUUGGAAAAUCUAUUUGGUAGAGGCCUGGGGAGGUUUCCCAAAAGGAUACAGAUCUGAAGGUAGGUAAUUAAUGAACUAGGCCUUGAAUACUGGUAGCUUACCUUUUAUUGUCUUGCAUUAGAAUUUU
rnacentral:lncRNA from 1 species